rnacentral:rRNA from 1 species
AGCAUCGUUACCUAGGUGUAACUAUUGUUUUCAGUGAUUUCUUUGGCUGGGCAAAAAAAAGUGUUUCAGCAGAAAAGGAACAAGUGAUUUUAAUUUAUCCAAGGGUCCGUGAAAUGAAAUAUGCCACACUUCAAACAAAAUUUGAUGCCGGAUCAAUGAUGUCACCAUAUUCCAUCGUUAAAGAUACUUCAAUGGCUGUGGGGCUACGUGAGUACGUUCCUGGUGAUCGUUUUUCGUGGAUUCAUUGGAAAUCAUUCGCAAAAACGCAAACACUACAAUCAAAAGAAUUUGAGGAUCGUCAAUCACAGGAGCUGAUGUUAGUGCUCCAUGCCAAAAAGUCACCGUUAUUUGAAGAAAAGAUUGAGCUAGUAGCAUCAAUGUUACAAACGAUAGUAGAUGAACGAGGAGAUAUUUCAUUUGUUUCAGCAGGUGCAAAAACGAAGGUGUUUCCACCUAUACAAGGGAAUAAGCAGUUAGAUCAAGUCAUGCAUCAUUUAGCUGCUAUAAAGCCAACAGAAAAUGUGAAAUUCCAAUUAAGAGAUCAACGAGCCUUUAAGCAUGUCGCAACAAUGCUAUAUGUCACGAGCGAAGUAUCUGAUGAACUAUUACAUACUCUCGCCACUAUGGUGAAAAGCUGUAUUUGUUUUGUAGUGGCAGAACAGCCACCUAUACAAGCAGAAUUAACUAUGCGUUAUAAACAUAUACAAGUUGUAUAUGUUAAUCCACUCGAUUAUUAUCAUUUGUUCACGGAGGUGAAGAGACCGUGAAAAAAACAUUAGGAGAUUUUAUAGAAUUAACUAUUGCGUAUGUAAUUGUUUUUUUUAUUUUACGUGAAUGGCUUAUUCCGGUAAUGGAGCUAACCAAUACUGGUUUACUUCACUUAUUUUUAGUGUUUAUUGGGCUAUCCCUAGCGCUUAGCUUAUUCCGAGUACAGCCGCUAUUAUCCGGUUUAGUUAAACUUGGAUAUAUUACGUGGUUUGUAGUAUUUGUAUUUAGUAAAAAGCCUUUUUUAUCUGGUAACACAUUGCCGUUUUUAAUACAUGAAUGGAAAUGGAAUAUGACAGCCAUUUUUUCUGGAGAAUUUGGACAAGUAUCAGAUUCGUUUAGAACAGUGCUUUUCCUUGCUCUUAUUUGGAUGUUAAUAUACUUAAUUCACCACUGGAUAACGGUGCGGAAUAAUAUAUUCUAUUUCUUUGCAUUAACAGUAUUCUUUAUUGCUACUUUAGAUACAUUUAGUGACUACAAUGGCAAAGUAGCAAUUGUAAAAGUUAUUAUAUUGGGCUUAAUCAUGACAGGCUUCCUAUUUGUCAAGCGGCUAUGGCUUCAAGUCGAUGCAGCAAAUAAUGCAAUAAGAAAGUGGAAGCUUGUUAUACCUAUGAUUGUUACCGUGCUACUUGUCAGUGGAGUUGCGUUCUUUUUACCGAAGACAGGACCAACCUGGGCUGAUCCAGUACCCUUUAUCAAAGGGGUUGCAGGACAAGGUGAUUCGGGCUCGGGUAAAAAAUCAGUUGGUUAUAGUGAUGAUGAUAGUCGAUUAGGCGGACCAUUUCAGGGAGAUAAUACAUUAGUUUUUACAGCGACUUCCCGUGAUCGCCACUAUUGGCGUAUAGACACGAAGGAUACCUAUACAUCAAAAGGAUGGAUUCUUUCGCAAGGAAACUUUGGGAAAAAUUAUUAUCAAGCUAAUACACCUAUUUUAACUUCUUUACAGGUGGGAUCUCUAGAAAAAACGCGUGAAAUUCAGAUGGACAUCGCUGUUCCGAUGCCGUUUUUAAUACAAACGUAUGGGAUGCUGUCAGUUUCAGCACAGGAUUCAACCAUGUUUAUACAGGAUGAGCAAACUGAAAAAAUAGGAAUAGAGCAACAAAAUGAUGAGGAAAAAUUAUUAUCAAGCUAUACGCUAUCAUAUAGUGAGCCUGUCUAUAGUAUGGAGCAGCUUCAACUGUCAAAACCAUCCAUGCUGGAAACCUUGGACCCAUCCUUUAAUCGCUUUUUGCAAUUACCAAAUACACUUCCGCAGCGUGUAAGAGAAUUGGCGUUAGACAUGACUCAGGAUAAAACAUCGGUGUAUGAUCAAAUCAAAGCAAUAGAAAGAUAUUUUUCUACCAAUGGUUUUAGAUAUGAUAAAACUGCAGCAGCUAUUCCUGCUGAGGAUCAGGAUUAUGUUGAUCAAUUUUUAUUUGAUACAAAAAUUGGCUACUGUGAUAAUUUUUCAACAUCAAUGGUUGUACUUCUACGAUCGGUGGGUAUUCCAGCACGCUGGGUAAAAGGCUUUGCGCCAGGUGAUGCUGGUUCAGUGUCAGAUGGUUUACGUGAGUAUCGCAUUACAAAUGAUAAUGCACACUCAUGGGUGGAGGCAUAUGUACCUGGAACAGGCUGGAUGGAGUUUGAGCCAACGAUUGGCUUUACAGGAAAUGUGAAUAUUGAUUAUGAUAUUGAACGAGAAACGCCUCAGCAAGAACAAAUCACUCAGCCAGAGGAAAAAAAGGAGCAGCCGAAAAAAGAGCAAGAGCCAAAACACAAGGCUAAUAGUUCAACAUUUAGCUUAGAUGUAGUAUGGACAUGGUUGAAAAAACUCAAAUAUGUAUGGCUGGCUUUACUUGUUUUGCUCAUUGCUACUAGUAUUUCAUUGUAUACGAAACGUAGAACAUGGAUACCUAAAAUGCAAAUAAGAGCAUAUCGUAAAAAGGAAGCGGAUUGGACAAAUUUUGAUGCUUCUUAUCAGGAUUUAAUGAAGCAAUUAUCACGCAUCGGUUUACGACGAAAAGAUGGUGAAACAUUACGGGCAUUUGCUGAACGGGUGGAUGCAUCACUAGAGACAGAUGAAAUGCAAAAAUUAACUGCAGUUUAUGAACAGCAUAUUUAUGGCAAGGAAGCACAAAGUGUUGAUUUUAAGAAACUGAAAGAAAGUUGGGAAUAUUUAA